rnacentral:rRNA from 1 species
CCUACGGGAGGCAGCAGUGGGGAAUAUUGGGCAAUGGGCGCAAGCCUGACCCAGCAACGCCGCGUGAAGGAAGAAGGCUUUCGGGUUGUAAACUUCUUUUGUCAGGGACGAAGCAAGUGACGGUACCUGACGAAUAAGCCACGGCUAACUACGUGCCAGCAGCCGCGGUAAUACGUAGGUGGCAAGCGUUAUCCGGAUUUACUGGGUGUAAAGGGCGUGUAGGCGGGGAGGCAAGUCAGAUGUGAAAACCACGGGCUCAACCUGUGGCCUGCAUUUGAAACUGUUUUUCUUGAGUGCUGGGGAGGCAAUCGGAAUUCCGGGUGUAGCGGUGAAAUGCGUAGAUAUACGGAGGAACACCAGUGGCGAAGGCGGAUUGCUGGACAGUAACUGACGCUGAGGCGCGAAAGCGUGGGGAGCAAACAGGAUUAGAUACCCUUGUAGUC